rnacentral:rRNA from 1 species
AUUGAACGCUGGCGGCAUGCUUUACACAUGCAAGUCGAACGGUAACAGGCCGCAAGGUGCUGACGAGUGGCGAACGGGUGAGUAAUGCAUCGGAACGUGCCCAGUCGUGGGGGAUAACGCAGCGAAAGCUGUGCUAAUACCGCAUACGAUCUAUGGAUGAAAGCGGGGGACCGUAAGGCCUCGCGCGAUUGGAGCGGGCGAUGUCAGAUUAGGUAGUUGGUGGGGUAAAGGCCCACCAAGCCAACGAUCUGUAGCUGGUCUGCGAGGACGACCAGCCACACUGGGACUGAGACACGGCCCAGACUCCUACGGGAGGCAGCAGUGGGGAAUUUUGGACAAUGGGCGCAAGCCUGAUCCAGCAAUGCCGCGUGCAGAAAGAAGGCCUUCGGGUUGUAAACUGCUUUUGUACGGAACGAAACGGUCUGGGUUAAUACCUCGGGCCAAUGACGGUACCGUAAGAAUAAGCACCGGCUAACUACGUGCCAGCCGCCGCCGUAAUAC